AGCUGGCUCACGUUCGACUCGCGUUCGGCUCGAUAUUUGGCUCGCUCGAGCUCGACUCGAAAUUAAAUGAGCCGAGCUUGAACAAAAUAAAAGGCUCGAAAUUCAUUUCAAGCCGAAUUUGAGCUGACAUAAGCUCGCUCGAGCUCGGCUCGUUUUUGUUGGGAAUCCGGUACUUGCUCCGGUACCGGAUCUCGUGAAUCCGCAAUCCGCUCCGAUACCGACUGCUGUGGAUCCGGUAUCGAUUGUUGGGAUUCCGCAACGGAAACGUUAAAUCGGGUUUUUACCAUAAACCCGUCUCAGCAAAAGCUGAUACAAUCAUAAAAGAGAAAAAUAUGCAGGUAAAAUAAGAUUCAUUAAAUAAGAGAAGAUUACACCUGACUCCUCUUCUACACAGAGUAGCUACAACCCGAGCCCUCUUUCUGAAUCUCUUCUACCCUUCUCUCGUCUUCUAUAAACCCAUAAAGAAGACAAUCCUUCACAUGCACCCGUACACUAGGUGCACUCAAAGCAUAAUUAAAUAACUCUCUCUCUCUCUCUUUUUUUUUCUCUCUCUGGUACGGCACCCAAGAGGCAUUUUCUCUCUCUCCGGUACUCACCUCAAAAAGCAAACCCACAAAGAGCUAUUUAUAAGGCUCCACCAAAACGUACCCCAAUCCUAAUAUAUUUAGGAUUUCUACUCCAAUUAAUAUCUAAAUCUAUCUUAAUCAAUCUCUAAUAGAUUUAAAUAUUAAUCCUAAUCUAGUUAGGUUUAUCCUCUAAUUAAUAUUUAAAUCUUAAUUUACUUCAACAAAUUUAAAUAUUAAUUCUUAUCUAAAUAGGAUUCAACUACAAAUCUAACCAAAAUCCUAACAGUUUCCACCCCUACUUAGAUUUGGUUUUUCUCGAUGUACGAGGCAGUUAAUUGGAAAAAUAAAAAGGUUUAGAAUCUAUGUGUAGGCCUGACAAACAGGCGGAUUGGAUAACCACAGGGUGGGCCAUUGUAUCCGGGGGUUAGCUGGGUAUGGAGAAAAUUUAUCUAUAAAUUUUUGGAUAAUCAACAUCUUUAUCCAUACUCGCCCACAAGCUGGCGGGUAGGUAUGCGGGUUACUGUUAAGUUAUUUUUUUACUCUUAUACUUUCCAAAUGCAAAAUACGUAUAUAAGAUUUUUAAAACCACAACAUAACUUUUUAUUUAAAAUAUCAUAAUAUAUAAUAAACAAUAUAAAAUCUUAAAAAUACAUACAUCACAUAAUAUAAAAAUACUUUAUUAUCCUAACUUUUCAUGAUACAAAACUAAUAAAAUUUUUAUCAUUAUAGAGUUAAUAUUAUAAAGAUUACAUAUUUUUUAAUUUAAAAAAUAUAUAUGCUGGUAUCAAUGGGUACCCACCAGUUGUCCAAAAUGUCCACCACUCAACGGGUACCCAUCCAUUUUAUCAAUAAAUUUUUACGUAAAAAAAUUAAUAUCCAUAUCUGCAAAUUUGCGAAUAACCCAUGAGUAUUCACGAAUAUGGGUGGAGAUUGACAAGUCUAUCAGUGGGUCCUUCCGGAGAAUUGUUUAUUGGACAGAGCGUGAAAACUUUUUUUCUUUUUUUUUUUUUAGUGUGAAGGUUUUGAAGUUGAUGGGAUAUAAGAUGCUAUCUACAGGAAUUGGAGGGUAAAAAGUGUGCAGUUUGGCCGAAAUGCGGCUCUUUAGCAUAGUUAGUUAAUUCGGAUUCGGCAAAAAUUCGAUACAGAUAUAAUUCGAAUAAAAUUCGUCUUUUAAUUCUAAAAUUUAUUGAAAAAUACGGCUAAAAAACGGAUUCGCCAAUUAUUCGGAUACGUGAUUUAUACGGAUUUUAUACGUUCACCAAUUAAAAAUUCGGGAUCAAAAAUUCGGCUAUUAAAUUAAAUUUUUUUCUCUCAAGAUUUAUGCUAUUAACAUCAAUUAAUACUCAUAUUUUUAAAAAAUAUAAGAAUAAAAA
rnacentral:lncRNA from 1 species